rnacentral:lncRNA from 1 species
UCUGCUCUUUAUUAGUCAACCUUUCACAAGACUUUUCUAUAAUCUAGCGCUCACAAGGGUUUUCUAUGGAGAAGUUCAUGUCAUUGUCAAGUUCAACUUCAGACAAAAAUGUUGUUACCUUUCUUCCUCUUCCUUUUCUAUUUUCUCCCUCUUUUUCUCUUCCAAAAUUUUCUCUUUGAUUUCUUCUUCUCCCUUUUUUCUUUUCCUUUUGAAUCCAAAAUACUAUUAUUCAAAUUUUCAUCAUCAUGUUCUUUUA